rnacentral:tRNA from 1 species
GUCAGGAGGGCUGAGUGGUCUAAGACGCCAGACUCAAGUUCUGGUCUCCCUCAGGAGAUGUGGGUUCAAAUCCCACUCCUGACA